GAGGAGCAUCAUUAAAUCACUUAACUCCCCGCACGGGAACUCUAUCCAGAAAAUCUCUUCCCCAAAUAUUUAUCUAAGCCUUAACCAAUUUUCUAUAAUGGUGAAGAAAUCAAGGGUGAAAUACAUUUUGUGUCAAUAUUUGGUCUCUUCUGCAGGGAAUAUCGGGGAUCCGGGAUUUGCCGUUCAGGAUAUCUGUGGUCAGAAGGAACAUUCCGUGUAUUCGAGCCCGAAAAAAACCACGGCAAGGACUGCGUUCCAGCGAGGGGCACCUGAGCCUUUUGAUGCUUCACUGGGCAAGGGGGCGAAGGACUGAAAUGGCGUGGGUAAGGAACUUGGUCAGGAGGAUGAGGAUCGAGGUGUUUGCGUGACAUUGGCGUCAACGGCGCACUGCACGGUCGUUAUUGGACUUCUUUUUUCCUGGUUAUUUGAUAUUCAUGCACAUUGACCUAUAGCCAUACAAUAAAUCAUCGCUAUCUCAACCCUCACCCCUUCUGUGGACGCCCAUUCCUCCAGGAGCGACUCAUGUGAGCACCAGGCCAUAGUUCAACAAUCCACCCACAGCCCCAUUAUGUAUUUAUUGUUUUCGCAUUAAGUGGAAGUCAAAGAGGAAUUGCCCCACAUUAUGAAGGGAAUGAUGAAGGGUGAAGCAAAUAAAAAGCUUCUGUGAUAAGAGUUUUAUGUGGAGAGUUUAGGGGCUUUUCCUAAACCCAUUCAGUAUGUCUCAAAGAACAAAUACGAAAUAAGAAAUAAAUUUGUUACUUUAAGCCUAA